rnacentral:rRNA from 1 species
GCAAGUCGAGCGGUAGAAUUAAUAUUGAGUCUUCGGAUGAUGUAUUGAUUGGAAAGCGGCGAACGGGUGAGUAACACGUUGGUAUCUGCCCCCAAGUCAGGGAUAGCCAUUGGAAACGAUGAUUAAUACCGGAUAGUCUCUUCGUAGUAAAGAUUUAUUGCUUGGGGAGGAGCCUGCGUUCUAUCAGCUAGUUGGUAGUGUAAAAGACUACCAAGGCUAUGACGGGUACCUGGUCUGAGAGGAUGAUC